GUAAAAGUCACCGGCUCGGCCCGCUCCACUUCCCAAACACGCUUCUAGUCAGAAACAACAGCGUUCAAGGAAAGCAAUUCGUUUCGUCGGCAUGUUGCGGAUCCGUGGCCAUUUCCAGCCUUCACAGCCACAGAUGUUGGAUCAGAUGUAGGUAGCCUACAUACACAGCAGUUGCUUUCCAGAUGAAGCGAUCUUUAACAGACAUCUUGAAGAUGUGCGCGUGCUAUCUGGGACAGACAGAAAGAGAAGCUGGUCACUGAUCUCACCCUUUCACUCAACCUUUGAUCCCAGCCAUGAGUCAUACACACAGUCAUGUGAGAGAUAUAUAUUAGAGAACGCAGCUACUGUUUGUCACAAACGGAGGCUCUUACUAAUAAAAAAAUACAACAACA